CAUUUCCGUUGACAUUGAAUUAAUCAACGUUCAUGAUGCAUUUUACGAUUCCAUUAUAAUUGCAGAAAUGUUAGGGGUAAAUUAAACAACCACUUUACGUAAAACAAGCAAUCCAAACCCUUACGAAUUCUGAGAAAGCAGUGAUUCAGACAAAGAUGGGGAGCUCAAAAUCAAACACCUCAAACACAAGGUCUGCUUUUUCUGGAAUUUCCCACCACGGCACAUCUUCCGCUGCUUCUUUGGCAAAACCAAGCAGUGCCGCUUCCAUUCCAUAUCACACACGUCAAUCAAAUAUUUAUCCUUUUCCAAGCAUCAACAACAGCUCUGCUCAACAACAAAUGUUAACACCGCCAAAUUCUAACUCCAACUUCUCUAAUAAAGCACAAAGACCAAUACGGUUCCAUUGGCCUUACCCAAACGUCUUUCCACAAAAAUCAAUCACAAAGGCAUAUAUGGUGCCAAAUCCUUCUCUUUCACAAAACUUGAACCUCUUUGCACAACAACCCACACCAACCUUAGGUUCUUAUCCCAUCAUCCUCAAUGGACAACAAUUAGGUGAACAACGGGUUGUGUUUCAACAAACUCAUAUAGGUAACGAAACUGGUCAGUUUGUUGAUGAGAGGUCCUGGAGCGUGUAAGACCCGAGUAAAUUCAAGAUUUACCAAGUAGUGUCAAAAUUCAAGUUAUAUUGUAAAAUACAAUGCUGUCAGGUUUGACUUGGUUUAGUAUUUUAAUUAUAACUUUUUGUACACGUGUGAUAUUGAGUUGAUUCUUGUUGCAUUGGAAAGUAGACUCAAAUGUCUUUCUUUGGACACUAAAAUCACAAUUUUUGGACAACGGGGCUAGCUGCAGUAAAAUUUGUAAAAAACGUAAUUGUGAUCACGUUCUGGUAAUUUUCAGCCUUGACCUUUGGUCAGUGUUUUAUUCAUAACUCUCUCCACAGAACUCNGAAUUAGUUAAUUCUUGUUUUAUUGGAUUCUAGACUUAAACAUCUUUCUUGGGGCACCGGAAUCAUAAUUUUUGGACAACUAUACUAACUGCAGUAAAAUGUUUAAAACUCGUAAAUUUACUCACGUUCUGGUGCUUUCCAGAUUUGACCUUUGCUGACUAAAUUGCUCAUUACUAUCUCUAUAGACCUCCAAAUGAGUUGAUUCUUUUUUUAUUGAAAACUAGACUCAAAGNGCUUCAAUUUGAGUACUCAUACAUAAUUUUUGGAGUUCGGGAAGGGUUCCAACCGGAUAGGAUAAGUCAUGAAAACGUUACUGUCAGAAGGACUAGCGCCCAAGGGUAACUUACUCUUUCUUUUCAAGACAAAACGUUGGAACCACAUGGGAAUUGCGUGGAAAGGUAGGGAAUCUNAUCCAGAUCCAACAUUUUGGUCCCUUGAGCAUGAGAGGAGCAUGGGAAGACCUACUUUACAAAAUUAAAUGGUUGUUUGUGAUGGGGAGGGGUCCUUGGUUGUCUAGGCUCAUUUCUUUUAGCCUAAAAUCUGGUCUGGAGUUUUUGGGCAGAGGAAAGAGGCUCUUGGAGAGGAGAGCACGAAAAUUCUAAGUGUCCAAAGGAUGGGAGAUGACUUGGUCUAGCAAGGGGGAGAAGAGUUGCUCUCUUGGAAGAAGAAGUUAAAGUGUCCAAAAGAGAUCUUCAAGAGGAGCAGUGAUAUGACAGAGAAAGAUGAAGCAGUAAAAUGCAAGGAUUUACGAGUGGGGAACCUGAAUGGGAAUUUCAGAUGUAUUUAAAAGUUAGUUUUUGUCAAAAUUGUAAUUGUACUAUUUCCUCGGUAGAACUAGAGGAUGAAACUAUUUUAUUAAGCUAUUUUGCAAAUGUUGAAUUCCAAUAAAAGGUAUAAGACGUCUUGUUUGGUUUAAAAAAAAAAAUGUAUGUACGCUUCCGCACGCUUUUGGAAAAGCAAUGUGUUUUUGUGAAAACAGUGUUCACCCUACCUUAAUUGGGGCAUGACAGAGCGCACGUGUAAGCAAAAUAUAAUUUCCCACUAGACAUUCAGAAGUAAAUCCCGAGCUAGGAUCAUGGCCUUCUAAUGAUGCAUCCCAAGAAAAUAUGGAUGACGAAGACGUCAUUAUUGCACAGCAUUUGAUGGAUUUUUUUGGAAAGAAAAACAAAGAAAGACUAUAUGGGACAAGACAACUUGAUGUCCAAUACACUCCUGGAAGAGGUUCAUUGAAGCACCAACGAUCUACAUCCAACAGUGUUGACCAGGGUUAUGAUGAACUCAGACAACAAUUGCAAGCUCGUGAACAAGCUUAUGAUGAUCUCAAGCAACAAUUUGAGAAUCUCCAAAAUUUGGUCAAUAGGUUCUUACCUCCAAAUGCACAACCUAUGGUCAAUCAACCUCAGUCCACCCCACCACCAUCCCAGCCACCUCCCCAACAAUAUCAAGAUCUAGAUCAAGAUAAAGAAGGAAACAACUCUGAUGAUGACUACAUAUAUUAUUAGAUAGUUACUAUGAAUAGGAUUCUAUUAUUGACUAUAUAUUAUGUUUUGUAUAAUUGACACUAUGUUUUUUAUGACAUGGACUACAUUUAUUUCACUGCA